rnacentral:lncRNA from 1 species
UGUGGUUGAAAAACAACACAAUCUCACAUUUCCAAAAUAGUCAGUUUGUAUUUUUACUUUUUGAAGUAUCAUACAGUCAGAAGAGAAACUAGGGGAUAUCUCUUUUAUUUCUUUAGCUCCUUCAAAAAGACCUUUGGUCACUUUGAUGGUUAAGCUGUUUGAAUGCUGCAGAACCUUGACUCACCACGUUUACUGGAGGAGCCACGAAUCCAUGAUGAGGAAGGCAAGUUGCCUUUACUCUCACAGUCAGACUCCCUGGAAAGCGGUUCUGAGACAGAGAUUGGCAUUCAAGGAGUGAAUGGGGGAGUGGCAGAGGGCUCCUUGUGUCAACCACUGAAGGGAAAUGAAGCCCUCAGCACUGACUAGUCAUUGGCUGUGGACUGCCCCAGGAAGGAGGUAAGAUGUCAUACCCGCAGCUCUCUUCAGCUGAG